UGCGUAGAUGGUUUGUUAAGUCGAAUGUGAAAGCCCCGGGCUCAACCUGGGAACUGCAUCCGAUACUGGCAGACUAGAGUGUGGUAGAGGAUGGCGGAAUUCCCGGUGUAGCGGUGAAAUGCGUAGAGAUCGGGAGGAACAUCCGUGGCGAAGGCGGCCAUCUGGACCAACACUGACGUUGAGGCACGAAAGCGUGGGGAGCAAACAGGAUUAGAUACCCUGGUAGUCCACGCCCUAAACGAUGUCGACUGGAUGUUGGGUGCAACUUGGCACUCAGUAUCGAAGCUAACGCGUUAAGUCGACCGCCUGGGGAGUACGCGCGCAAGCGUGAA
rnacentral:rRNA from 1 species